rnacentral:rRNA from 1 species
AGAGUUGAUCCUGGCUCAGGAUGAACGCUGGCGGCGUGCCUAAUACAUGCAAGUCGAUCGCACUACUCGGUAGUGAGAGGCGAACGGGUGAGUAACACGUAGGUAACAUAUCUAUAUGACGAGGAUAACGGUUGGAAAUGACUGCUAAGACUGGAUAGGAGUAGAGGAGGCAUCUCUUUUACUUUAAAGGACUUUUCGGAGUACGCGUAUGGAGUGACCUGCGGCGCAUUAGUUAGUUGGUGGGGUAGUGGCCUACCAAGACGAUGAUGCGUAGCCGGACUGAGAGGUUGAACGGCCACAUUGGGACUGAGACACGGCCCAGACUCCUACGGGAGGCAGCAGUAGGGAAUUUUCGGCAAUGGGGGGAACCCUGACCGAGCAACGCCCGCGUGAAUGACGAAGUACUUCGGUAUGUAAAGUUCUUUUAUUAAGGAAGAAAGUGCAGUGGAAAAACUGUAUAGACGGUACUUAUUGAAUAAGCCCCGGCUAACUAUGUGCCAGCAGCUGC